rnacentral:lncRNA from 1 species
CAGGAUAAGGAAGCCUGUGUGUGUACCAACAAUCAAAGCUACAUCUGUGACACAACAGGACACUGCUAUGGGCAGUCUCAGUGUUGUAACUACUACUAUGAACAUUGGUGGUUCUGGCUGGCGUGGACCAUCACCAUCAUCCUGAGCUGCUGCUGUGUCUGCCACCACAGCCAAGCCAGCCCUCAAGUCCAGCAGUAGCAACAUGAAAUCAACCUGACUGCCUAUCCAGAAGCCCGCAAUUACUCAGUGCUACCAUUUUAUUUCACCAAACUAUUUAUUACCUUCUUAUGAGGAAGUGGUGAACUAACCUCCACCUGUUUCCCUCCCU